rnacentral:rRNA from 1 species
CACGCCGUAAACGAUGAAUGCCAGUCGUCGGUGCGCAUGCGUAUCGGUGACACACCUAACGGAUUAAGCAUUCCGCCUGGGGAGUACGGUCGCAAGAUUAAAACUCAAAGGAAUUGACGGGGGCCCGCACAAGCGGAGGAACAUGUGGUUUAAUUCGAUGAUACGCGAGGAACCUUACCCGGGCUCGAACGGUGCAGGAAUACAGGAGAGAUUCUGUAGCAUAGCAAUAUGUCUGCAUCGAGGUGC